UCGGGUAUGGUGUAACGGCUAACAUUGCUGCCUCUCAUGAUUUGAUUUUCCCACGGUGCGCAGCAGCUCGGGGUUCGAUUCCCCGUACCCGAG